UACGUAGGGUGCGAGCGUUGUCCGGAAUUAUUGGGCGUAAAGAGCUCGUAGGCGGUCUGUCGCGUCGAUCGUGAAAACUUGGGGCUUAACCCUGAGCGUGCGGUCGAUACGGGCAUGACUGGAGUUCGGCAGGGGAGACUGGAAUUCCUGGUGUAGCGGUGAAAUGCGCAGAUAUCAGGAGGAACACCGGUGGCGAAGGCGGGUCUCUGGGCCGAUACUGACGCUGAUGCGCGAAAGCUAGGGGAGCGAACGGG
rnacentral:rRNA from 1 species